rnacentral:rRNA from 1 species
CGCCUCUUGUAAUUUAAAAAUAAGAGGUCCCGCCUGCCCAGUGACACUAAGUUCAACGGCCGCGGUAUUUUGACCGUGCAAAGGUAGCGCAAUCACUUGUCUUUUAAAUGAAGACCCGUAUGAAUGGCAUAACGAGGGCUUAACUGUCUCCUUUUUCAAGUCAAUGAAAUUGAUCUCCCCGUGCAGAAGCGAGGAUGACAACAUAAGACGAGAAGACCCUAUGGAGCUUUAGACACCAGAGUAGCCCUUGUCAAACACCCCCAGUAAAAGGGCAAAACCAAAAGGACCCUACUCCCCUGUCUUUGGUUGGGGCGACCGCGGGGAAUACAAAACCCCCAUGUGGAAUGGGAGAACCCCUCCUGAAACCAAGAGCCACGGCUCUAAGCAAUAGAACAUCUAACCAAAAGAUCCGGCAUGGCCGAUCAACGAACCGAGUUACCCUAGGGAUAACAGCGCAAUCCCCUUCUAGAGUCCAUAUCGACAAGGGGGUUUACGACCUCGAUGUUGGAUCAGGACAUCCUAAUGGUGCAGCCGCUAUUAAGGGUUCGUUUGUUCAACGAUUAAAGUCCUACG